AUGAAGGUCUCCUGUGCUUACAGCAGGUUCACUCUGACGUUUCUCCUCUACAGCAAAUUUCUCCGUAAAAGCGUUAAACCUUGAGCACUUCUGUUAUUUGGAUGCUAUGGUAUUUAGACUUCCAGAUAAAUGAUCUGCUACUGUUAGCUUCUAUGGAAACCCAACCUAAGAAACCACUCAAAUGUCUCAAUAGUUAUUGGUGGAGUCAAACAGAUGUCCUUUCUCAGGUAUUUAAAUUAUACAUUGCUGAUUUAUCAAGAAUGCAAGAAAGAUCCUCAGAAGGCAAAAUAAAGAGCAACAAGGAUUGGAUCAUGAAUCCAGAGAGAUAUAAGGGAUCUGAAGCCUACUUCUUUCUUGAGUACCCAUUAAUCUUUGGUGACAUGGAGAUUUAGUUCUAAAAAGCAGUGAACAUGGUAGACAAGAAAUAAUGCAGGACCAAGGAAGGCAAGAUAUCAUAUUGGACUUUACAUAUAGUAGAAAUUUAAAAAUCGCAAUAUUCUCUGUGAGUAAACUAGAAAAUAAUCUACCCCACAGAGGAAAACAUUGAGGAAAAUUGUCCGUCUCAGUCUUGGCCAUAAAUGGAGGCAAAAAUGAAGUCAUUCUUGAUAAUAAAGACUAUACAGCCAUCCUUGAAGGGGUUUAGUGACAGAAUUUAUAGAAUCUGAAUGGUCACAAGUAGACAUUUUCUUUCAAAUUAGUCCUAGAUCAGUGGUGCCCCCCGACAUUUAGCAGAAACUAAGACAAAUCCCUCUUAGGAAAUUCAACUUUAUCUUAAGCCUCAAAAAAAAUCCCACUAAUAAAAUUUCAAGAAACAUAAACCCAUACUACAUUAUAAUGAAACAUGAAAUAUAAGUUAUUCUUUGACAAAUGUCAACAUAAGAAAUUUCAGGAUAAGACUCACAAAAGCUUUGCCUAUAAAAAAAUAUUGAUACAGAAUGUAAAUCAACGUGUUUAAUAUAUUUCAAGAAAAAAGAAAAUAUACUCAAAGAAGAGUCUAAAAUAUUGAGUCAUGAAAGAAUCAAUAAGAAAUUUUACAAACACAAAAACUGAAAAAAUUUUCGACCACCACAGUGUGUGAAUUAAAUAGCAGAUUAGACAGAACUAAAUAAAUAAUUAGUAAUUUGGAAGAACUUACCAAAAAAUACAGCAUAGAAAGCUAAAAGAGAUAAAGUAUGUAAUAAAGAUGAACAAAGAGCAGAGUGAGGUCUAACAAAUAAAUACCUCCAAUAUUGAAAGAUGAAUAGGAAAAUGGAGAUCUAAACAUAUUUCCAAAAUGAUUGAAGACAUGAAUUGUUGGAUUCAAAGGAUGCUCACUUUUCCCAGUACUGAACUACAAUUUCUAGCCAGAGCAAUUAGGCAAGGGGGAAGAAAAGGCAUACAAAUUGGAAAGAAGUAAAACUAUUCCAAUUUGCAGAUAACAGGAUCUUCUAUAUUGAAGAUCCAUAAAAGAACUAAUAGAGCUAAUAAACUAAUUAAGCAAAGUCACAGGAUAAGAUCCACACUUAAAAAUCAGUUGUAUUGCUAUAUACCAUCAGUAAACACUCUGAAAAGGAAAUUAAGAAAACAACUCCAUUUAUAAUAGCAUCCAAACAACAAAAAUAGCUCAAAGUAAAUUAAACCAAGGACAUCAAAGACUUGUACCUUGAUAAGUAUAAAAAAAGAAAUAAAAGGCCAAAAUAAAUGGAAAGACAUCCGUGUUCAUGCACUGGAAAACAAUAUUGU